ACCUGUUUAACAAAUUUAAAGAGAUACCUGAUGAUUAGGUUUAGUCCGUCUCUACCACCAAAUCAGAUAUCAAUUCACGGAGGGGGAAAAAAAAAUCAAAAGCAUAUACGCAGUAAAUACAAAGCAGCAGCAUAGAACGCAACACAAUCUUAAACCACAAGGAACAACGAGAAGAAAAUGCCCUAAAAUGAUUGACUGCAGGUAAAAAGAAAGAAGCAUCGGGAAACAAGGGCCUUCGGACACCAGUUCGAGAGGGAGGAGGAAAAGAUAGGGUUUUGGUACCAGUUCCAGAGACCGAUCUUGAAGGGGUCGGACUUGCGAAAGGAGAAAGGGGAGAGGGUAUCGAUCCUCCAUUGAGCGAGCCGCGGCGUGGUCUCCACCCGGUACGCGCGCUCGCUCAUCCUCGCUGCCGACGCCGCGAUCGCUGCGGCGACGUCAUUGAUACAGUCGAAGAUCCCCAGCAAGUCCUCCGCCUUUCCCAGUUUCGCCUGCUGCUCUUCCACG